CCAAUACCCACUUGUUUUCCUAAAAAUCACUUUAAUUCCAAUCCCUCUCCUAUAAUAACCCUUACAAACACUAUUUAGUGGAGGACCCCCAUGACCAUCGGUAAGUACCAUGUCUUCAAUUUAGGACUCUCUGCAUCUCUGCAGCCUUCUUUCUAGAACCGCCAGCACACUCCCAGCACACUACAGCUACGAUGUACUGUGUUGAGAACAUUAGUGAUGUGUGAUGUUAGCAGACCAACAAACCCUCAGGGAUUACAUGAUCAUGCCAUGUGAAUUAUAGACAUACCUUUUCAAUUGAGCCAUACUUUUAAUCAUUGAACCUCAUACAUACUAUUUGUUUUGUGCUACUAUCUGCCGACUUUAUGCAUUGUGUUGGACAAAUAUUGGUCCAUUAUUGUCAAAUACUGCCACCAAAUGUCAAUGAGAGAGAGCUUUUCAUCUGAGCAGUUAUGAGAUAUACCUUUUGAAUCACUUCAACAUUCCUUUGCCUUGCUUCUGCUUUCAUCAUUGUCCAGCUGAUGGAUUAGGAAAGGUGACUAUCCUACCAAUCUUCAGUUUUUUGGGUAACUGAAAAUGUGUUCUCUUGCAGCAUUUUCCUAAAUGUUU